ACUAAUUUUGUCCAGGAAGACUCUCAGAGAAGCCUCCAUGUGGAAGGUUUGGCUGACCCAGGGUUUGGAGGAGUAUUGCAUUUCAUUACAUACGGGAGCCAAAAUUCAAGACUAGCUAGCAGGAGAAGCUAGCAAGUGUGCACACACUUCAUUUUCCCCACCAUGGCCACAAGGAUGUCCUGCCCACUGCUGCUGCCCUUUGUGAUGACUUCCUUGAACGCUUGUCCGGAGAUUUCAGGCAGUGGCAGGAUGGGCAGAGACUGGAGAGGAGGGAUCAGCCCUGCUGUUGGCGUAUAUCUCCUGUAAGGCACCUCACUGAUGAGGAACAGAGCAGCCACUAUUCACUGUCUUUUUGACCACUCAGAACCCACAUGGAUGUGCAAAAAUUGGGAACAGAAUUGGAAGAGACCUUACAGGUCAUCUCUUCCAGUCUCUCACCUGACAGAGAGGUCUGUUCUCCAGCACAGAACAUCAACCAGCCUCCGCUUGCACCGUCUAGAGACAGGCAGGCACCUUUCUGGGCAGCGUGUUCCCUGUGGUGUGGCCUUGUUAAAAAGCACUUGCUUAUUCUGAGUAAGAUGACAUAGGUCUGCCCUCUGAACAGCACUGUAAUCUCCAGUAGGUUCACAUCAUCUAUUUUCAUAACCCCGUUACCCGACCCCCAUAGUUCCCUACAUGCUUCAGGUCCAUUUGGAUUCAAGUGGGCUUUGUGCACCGACCUUGGGACCCAAUCACUUUUCGUAAUCUGGCUUUUGGGCACAGAUGGCCACUGUGUUCCAAAGCACUCUCGACCCAUGCUUUCUGGUAUCCACGUAGAGUAAAAGCCAAGACUCCCGGAACUCUCAGUGAAUGACUGGUUCUAAUGAGCUCUUGUUUUUUUUCUUUGGAUAAUUGUAGCUCAACCCUUAUGUAGAAAAAACAAAAUAAUGAUUGGUUUAGCUGGAAAUUCCUCUAAAUGAAUUAUUUCAAUAUUGUUCUGCUCUUUAAUACAAUAAUGCCAUGGUGGGCUUUUGAGGUGUGUGGCAUUCUCUGCUCUGGUACUAAAUGACCCUGAGUUUUAUAUUUUUAACUUUUUAUUCCUGUUUUUUCUUGUUGUUGUUAUUGUUGUUUGGGACAGAGUCUCGUUCUGUUGCCAGGCUGGAGAGCAGUGGUAUGAUCUCGGCUCACUGCAAUCUCCGCCUCCCGGGUUCAACUGACCCUCCUGCCUCAGCCUCCCAAGUAGCUGGGACUACAGAUCUCAGUCUGUGGUAGAAGCUGGGACCCUGAAACAUGAGGAGAAGGGAGAGAAUGAGAACACCCAGCCACUCCUGGCUCUGGACUGAACCCUGAGUCACCCCAAUGCUCCUGCACACUGGCCUUCAGUGGUAUCAGCCACCCAGGAAGCACAUGCACAACUGACCCAUGCAGACACGUGUGUUCUGCUUGACACAAGGUCCUCCACUCCUGAACCCCUGCAGUGACUGUCACCAGCCAUCGGUCUGAGCAGCCAAAGUUGGACAAAGACUUGAGAGAUGCUUUUUUUUUCCCCCAGUGAGGGGACUGGAGGAUGAUGCAAGGCAUUUAUGUAAAAAAGAUUCUCCCUCCUUUCAUAUUUAUUGUAGUAAAUUGAAAAAAUAAAGACUAAAUUUGAUGGACACACUGCAUUAGGACAAGAAUUUUUCUGAGGUAUCACACAGGGACCCUCUCCAGUUUUUGAAAAUUAAGUGCAUUUCCAAGUAAAUGUAUCAGAGUUAAACUGUACAGACACCACUGUCAAGUUUCAUGUAGUACAAAGCCCUGAGACAAUAGUAUCUCCAGUAAUUUCCAUUCUUACUGAAUUAUUUCCUUUGACCUCAUCACCAGCAUCGAAUUGUUCAGCCUAAGAGCAUGUUCUCAUAGGUCUGGGUAUUUGCAAAGUUUGCUUAUUUUGAUGAUAUCCUGCAAAAAAUUAUUUUGAUGUCACAUCUCUUGUCAGGUCACUAGCUGACUGUCAUGAGCUGACGUUAAAGGAAGACACAUGGACGUGAAAUACGAUUAUUUCAUCUGAGCAAUGUGAGUUACCACAGGCAGCUCAAAAGCCCAUUAGUGCAGCAUGUGUCUGCAGAGGAGAUGUCUCAUGAAAAUCACAUGUCAGUGAUUAAUGAAUCCAUUCCAGUUGCCUCAACUGGGUCACUACAGCAAAGAAAAGUGCUAUCAAACCAUUUACCCUUGCCCCCACAACCCUCCUGCAACCAUUAAAGAUGUGGAGAAAGACCAUGGUUGUUGCUGAGAGGGUAAAUAUUCAAUCAUGGAGCAUGACCCAUAUGGAUGGCUAAAUAUGCAAGUACUGAAGUAAGAGAAGACUAGAAAUGCAGGAUGAAAUGUCAAAGGUCAUUUUAUUUACCUAGUCUCCUUAGAAAUGGAGUCCCCAACUACUCAUUCAAAAGAAAUCAGACAUAAAAUAAACAGACAUCAUAUAUGAUAUCCUUACUUGUGCCAUGUUUUCCAAGACCAGUGCAUAUUUUUAGACAUCUCUUAUUCGCCCAGCCAUCUGCAUGACAUGGGUAUUUAUUAGUAUUACCAGUUGGUGCUCAAAGUCAAACAAAAAUAUUUUAGUUAAUAAUGGGCAGUAAAAUAUGAUUUUACAUUAUUUUAAAUAUUUGGGAGAGUUAAUUUGUUAGCUAAAUAAUUCAAGGGAAAGAGAUUAUUCAACUGGUCAUAAUCACCCCUGAUAAUAUUAUUACUAAUCUUAAUUAUUUAUUACAUCAUCUCUUUCUCAAUGGAUCUAAUGUUUUAAUUUUUUCCCCUAUUGGUAGAGAACAAUAACAGAAGUAAUUUUUAUAUUAUACACUUGGAGAAAUAAAGUUGAAACAGAAUUAAAAAUAUUUCUCAAACAACUGUAUCACAAUAUAAAUUAAACUAAUUCAUUUUUGUGUAGACAUACGAAAUCACAAAAAUAAUAACACUGAAAUAAUUCUACCAAUGCAGUGAUGGAAACACUUUUCUUAUGUACCAAGACAUA
rnacentral:lncRNA from 1 species